UUCAACCCGUGUACUUCAAAACAAAGCAGUGGCAAACUAAAUAGCUCAAAUGUAGCUCUGACAUUUUUUUUUCUGAAUACUCCUGUCUUCUACAUGUCCUGCUUUGCAUUCAGCUGCUCCUAUAGGAGACAAGGUCAAAGAGAAGAUCAGAGGAUUAAACUUAGGGAAGUUCAAGAGCUUGAUGCCUGUAGGUUUGGAUAUCUGAAAGACUAUACUCCAGAGAAGAAAGUUGUAUCCUCAGAUAUUGGAAGGGCCAUCUAGCUGAAUGCUACAUCAAGCCUUUUCGAUGAGGAUUUUUAUCCCAUUCAAGGAGAGUAGAAYUCUUGGCCUAGUYACCUUUUAAUACUAUCACAUUGGCAAAACCUGACUUUUUUUUUAUUAGUGCAUUAGUCAUACAUAAUAGUGAGGUUCAUUUUGAAAUAUUCAUACAUGUACAUAAUGUAAUUUGUGCCAAUUCAAUAUCCAGAAUUUUACCCUUUUUUUCACUUUUUCCCUCCCCAUGAUCCCCUCUCGUCUACUCUAUUGGCAUUCCUUUUAGUUAUUUAUUUUUUUUAAAUUUAGUGUGUUAAACAUAAAAUAAUUUACUGUGAAGUAUUCAUACAUGCACAGAGUAUAGUAUAGUCACUUUAGUUCUUCUCCUUUCUCAUCACCUUUCCCUCUUCCUCCCUUUCUACUGUUCUACUCUUCUCCCUUUUU
rnacentral:lncRNA from 1 species